rnacentral:rRNA from 1 species
GAUGAACGCUGGCGGCGUGCCUAAUACAUGCAAGUCGAGCGAACAGACGAGGAGCUUGCUCCUCUGACGUUAGCGGCGGACGGGUGAGUAACACGUGGAUAACCUACCUAUAAGACUGGGAUAACUUCGGGAAACCGGAGCUAAUACCGGAUAAUAUAUUGAACCGCAUGGUUCAAUAGUGAAAGACGGUUUUGCUGUCACUUAUAGAUGGAUCCGCGCCGCAUUAGCUAGUUGGUAAGGUAACGGCUUACCAAGGCAACGAUGCGUAGCCGACCUGAGAGGGUGAUCGGCCACACUGGAACUGAGACACGGUCCAGACUCCUACGGGAGGCAGCAGUAGGGAAUCUUCCGCAAUGGGCGAAAGCCUGACGUAGCAACGCCGCGUGAGUGAUUAAGGUCUUCGGAUCGUAAAACUCUGUUAUUAGGGAAGAACAAAUGUGUAAGUAACUAUGCACGUCUUGACGGUACCUAAUCAGAAAGCCAGGGCUAACUACGUG